ensembl:lncRNA
GUCAGAGCGCUUAUAGGGUCAGCGCACUUAAUGGGGUUUUUCCGCCCUAUAGUGGCUGCAGACAGAGAUGUCCUUAUAGGAUCAGUCCUCCUAUAGCCUCAGUCUCCCUAUAGGGUCGGUCUCCCUAUGGGGUCAGGCUCCUUAUAGGGUCAGAGCUCUUAUAGGGUCAGGCCAAUUAAUGGGGUUUUUCCGCCCUAUAGUGGCUGCAGUCGGAGAUGUCCUUAUAGGGUCAGUCCUCCUAUAGGCUUAGUCUCCCUAUAGGGUCACUCUCCCUAUGGGGUCAGGCUCCUUAUAGGGUCAGAGCGCUUAUAGGG